GAUGAACGCUGGCGGCGUGCCUAAUACAUGCAAGUCGAGCGAACGGACGAGAAGCUUGCUUCUCUGAUGUUAGCGGCGGACGGGUGAGUAACACGUGGAUAACCUACCUAUAAGACUGGGAUAACUUCGGGAAACCGGAGCUAAUACCGGAUAAUAUUUUGAACCGCAUGGUUCAAAAGUGAAAGACGGUCUUGCUGUCACUUAUAGAUGGAUCCGCGCUGCAUUAGCUAGUUGGUAAGGUAACGGCUUACCAAGGCAACGAUGCAUAGCCGACCUGAGAGGGUGAUCGGCCACACUGGAACUGAGACACGGGCCAGACUCCUACGGGAGGCAGCAGUAGGGAAUCUUCCGCAAUGGGCGAAAGCCUGACGGAGCAGCGCCGCGUGAGUGAUGAAGGUCUUCGGAUCGUAAAACUCUGUUAUUAGGGAAGAACAUAUGUGUAAGUAACUGUGCACAUCUUGACGGUACCUAAUCAGAAAGCCACGGCUAACUACGUG
rnacentral:rRNA from 1 species